rnacentral:lncRNA from 1 species
AUGGUGACACUCUAUUCCCUGAUAAUCUAUGCCGAAGACAACCAAGGGGCAACAGCAUCACAGACCAUUUUAAUCCAGAUCGCAGAUGUGAAUGAACCGCCCACCUUCACUGGAUCUCUUGCCCAGGGUGACCAAGUUUCUGAGAUUUAUAUCCUGGAAGAUACUGUCCCAGGCACAGUCAUUUACCGAGCAGCAGCCAACGACCCAGAGGAUGCUGUUUUGGAGGUAAUUUAUGCUUUGGGACAGAGAGUAACAGUGCCUAGUGGUUUUAUGUGUGAUUGAAUUCAAAUGUAAAGCCAUGGAGGCAAUCAAGUCAGUUAUACCCACAACUUAGGUUUCAAACAUACCUUUGCCUCAAUUAUCAGGAUACUUUAGGUGAAAAUGAUUAAGGUCUGGGUUGUCCGGGUAAUUGAUUCCCUUCUAGUACACUCCAUCCUGUGCACGCCGACCCAACCUAAUCCUUAGGUAACUUUAGCAACAGAUGUCAUGACAUUUCAUUUUGUUCUUAGGAAUCUUGGUUGUAUACAGGUAGUGAAAGAAUCCAGCUUUCUGGCAGAAUUAAUUUGUAUUUCAAAACUCGAGGUCUCGUCCUCAGGUUUUAUAAUGCCCUAGAUGGAGAGGAAACUAUGAGCUUGGUACCAAGAGGCUUGGGUUUAAGUUCUUACUCUACUACUGCAAAUCAUUUAACACUUUUGCUUUGGUGUUUCAACUGUAAAUUUGGGAAAAUGAUACCUGCUUUGUCUUGUCUCAUAUUGCUUUCUCUCAUUAUAAUUAAACAUAUUAUUUGAUUACGUUUAUAUGAACACGAAAGUAGUUUUUAAACUGUAAAACAUUUUGCAAUUGAUAGGCUUUACAAUAAUGUCUUAAUUUUUGAUGCCAUAUGGAAUGGUUAUGGCAUUAUUAAACUAUAAUAUUUUAGCUAACGAAUUGAUAGAAAAGAAUAUUGUGUCUUUCAUUUUUAGUGUUGUAUUGCUUUCCCAGACUGGCUAAAAAUUACAGAAUUGUACGUGUUGAUGCUGUACACUCAAUAUCUACAACUUUUGGUAAUACUAUUGGAUACUUGCUCAAGGCAACUUGAGUCAUACAAAAUUUUCUUUAAGCAAUAGAUGACCACUAAUAUUUGAGGUAUUGUCCACAAGGUUUUAAAAAGUAUUGAGUAUUCUUAAAUAAUUAUGCAAGAUUCCCCACACACAUUUGUCUACUCCUUCUCCCAAUAGCACAUCCAGGAAGGGACUGGAAAGGUCACAGCUUUCUUUAUAACAUGCAAUUAAACCACCUAAUCAUGCAUAUUGCUCCAAAUCAACAUGUUCAAGAUUAUAGGAUGGAAUGCAGCACUGAGCAGCUCCAGCCACACAGGAAUCAGAUAUCAUAACACAAUUGCUUCCUUGGUAUUCUCCAUGGCAGCUCACCCACCUAAAAUGUUGACAUUACAGGGCGUAAAACACAUCACAGUCCGAUAAGGUUUAGUUGUGACUCCAUGUACAAUCAAAAUGACUUACUAGACAAUUAAUGCAAGUAAUUCAUUUGAAAUAAAG